rnacentral:rRNA from 1 species
CGGGGUGGAGGUAUGUACUGGGAAGCGGCUCGAUGGAGGGGGAUAACUACUGGAAACGGUAGCUAAUACCGCAUAACGUCGCAAGACCAAAGAGGGGGACCUUAGGGCCUCUUGCCAUCGGAUGUGCCCAGAUGGGAUUAGCUAGUAGGUGGGGUAACGGCUCACCUAGGCGACGAUCCCUAGCUGGUCUGAGAGGAUGACCAGCCACACUGGAACUGAGACACGGUCCAG